CCCUUAGAUGUUCUGGGCUGCACGCGCGCUACACUGAAGCGUUCAACGAGUAUUCACCUUGCCCGGGAGGGUUGGGUAAUCUUUCUAAAACGCUUCGUGAUGGGGAUAGAUUAUUGCAAUUAUUAAUCUUCAACGAGGAAUUCCUAGUAAGCGCGAGUCAUCAGCUCGUGCUGAUUACGUCCCUGCCCUUUGUACACACCGCCCGUCGCACCUACCGAUUGAAUGGUCCGGUGAAAUCUUCGGAUUGAGACUUUGAUUUCUUCACGGAAAACGCUGUUUUAAAAAGUUGAUUAAACCUUACCAUUUAGAGGAAGGUGAAGUCGUAACA
rnacentral:rRNA from 1 species